UACGGAGGGUGCAAGCGUUAUCCGGAUUUACUGGGUUUAAAGGGUGCGUAGGCGGACUUUUAAGUCAGGGGUGAAAUCCCGGGGCUCAACCCCGGAACUGCCUUUGAUACUAUUGGUCUUGAAUGUUGUGGAGGUGGGCGGAACGGGUCAUGUAGCGGUGAAAUGCAUAGAUAUGACCCGGAACACCGAUUGCGAAGGCAGCCCGCUACGCAACGAUUGACGCUGAGGCACGAAAGCGUGGGGAGCGAACAGG
rnacentral:rRNA from 1 species